UACGGAAGGCAGCAGGGGGGAAUAUUGCACAAUGGGCGCAAGCCUGAUGCAGCCAUGCCGCGUGUAUGAAGAAGGCCUUCGGGUUGUAAAGUACUUUCAGUCGUGAGGAAGGUGUUAAGGUUAAUAACCUUAGCAAUUGACGUUAGCGACAGAAGAAGCACCGGCUAACUCCGUGCCAGCAGCCGCGGUAAUACGGAGGGUGCGAGCGUUAAUCGGAAUUACUGGGCGUAAAGGGCACGCAGGCGGUUAAUUAAGUUGGAUGUGAAAUCCCCGGGCUUAACCUGGGAAUGGCAUUCAAGACUGGUUAGCUAGAGUCUUGUAGAGGGGGUAGAAUUCCAUGUGUAGCGGUGAAAUGCGUAGAGAUGUGGAGGAAUACCGGUGGCGAAGGCGGCCCCUGGACAAAGACUGACGCUCAUGUGCGAAAGCGUGGGGAGCAAACAGGGAUUAGAUA
rnacentral:rRNA from 1 species